AAUGUAAAUUCCAAAUGAUUGGAAAGAGUGUUUUUCGCGUCAUUUAUCGUUAGAUAAAGUACGAAAGUAAGAUUAAAUUUACUAAUAAACUACAAAGUCCGUGUUUGAAACUUGUCCCUCAAUAAGAAAUGGACCAGUGUCCGGAUUAUAAUCACCUAUUUUCAAAAAUUAUUAUUUUUUGAUUCAAUAUUCUUUAAGCUUGAACAUAUUCAAUUAACUUAACAACAUCAACACGAGCUCUGUAGUAUCUAUAAUACAGCUCAAAGAAUUCAUUUUAAUUUUACUUUACCAUUGAAAAAAUUGAACAAAUUUUUGACUUCUAUUUAGAAUAAUAUGUACUUUAAUUUAUUAAUAAAAGUGACUGAUUCACUCCAACCUUAUGAUGGUGAAAAAUUAAAAAUCAAUCAGGUAAAUCCACUAUCUACCUAAAAUUCUAAUUCCUAGUCCGAUAAUUGAAAUAAUGUAUAUUCCUAAUGAUUGAAAACAGUGCUUUUCGAGUCAUUUAUCGAUAGAUAGGACAAGAAAAUAUAAUUCAAUAUACUAAUGAACUACAAAAUCCACGUUCGGAAAUUGUCCCUCAAUAAGAAACGGAUCAGUGUGCAGAGGUACUUUCGGGAUUCUUGUAUUUAUUUUUCACAGACACAUAGAAAUAUAAGUAAAAGGUUACCUAUACGGCGUAAAUGUGAGAAUUUAAUAGACGAUAACACGCUGAUAACUUUAAUGCGACGAAAAUUCUCGCCCUUAAAUGAAAAAAUUAUUUAAUACUUUUAAAUUUUUUUAACAUACAUUUAUUAAUAAACAUAUCGACUUUUUCCAAUCUCC